rnacentral:rRNA from 1 species
CGCUGAAACACCGGUUCUCGUUCGAUCACCGAAGUUAAGCAUCGUAGAGCCAGUUCAGUACUUAGAUGGGGGACCGCUUGGGAACACCAGGUACUGUAAG